rnacentral:rRNA from 1 species
CCUACGGGAGGCAGCAGUGGGGAAUUUUGGACAAUGGACGAAAGUCUGAUCCAGCCAUGCCGCGUGCGGGAAGAAGGCCUUCGGGUUGUAAACCGCUUUUGUCAGGGAAGAAAUCUUCUGGGCUAAUAACUCGGGAGGAUGACGGUACCUGAAGAAUAAGCACCGGCUAACUACGUGCCAGCAGCCGCGGUAAUACGUAGGGUGCAAGCGUUAAUCGGAAUUACUGGGCGUAAAGCGUGCGCAGGCGGUUAUGCAAGACAGAUGUGAAAUCCCCGGGCUCAACCUGGGAACUGCAUUUGUGACUGCAUAGCUAGAGUGCGGCAGAGGGGGAUGGAAUUCCGCGUGUAGCAGUGAAAUGCGUAGAUAUGCGGAGGAACACCGAUGGCGAAGGCAAUCCCCUGGGCCUGCACUGACGCUCAUGCACGAAAGCGUGGGGAGCAAACAGGAUUAGAUACCCUGGUAGUCCACGCCCUAAACGAUGUCAACUGGUUGUUGGGAAGGUUCCUUCUCAGUACGUAGCUAACGCGUGAAGUUGACCGCCUGGGGAGCGCGCGAGUAGAGACGAAGAGUAGAGNGNGAGAGNGCGACGGACGACGACGAGGGAGGAGG